GGGGUUAACGAAAAAGAAAACAGAACGAACUUCGUGGAAAUUAAUGACAACGACUAGCUACCUCUGCAAUCGCCAAUCAGGUUUAGUGGCACCAAGAUUCAACCCCCAAUUGAGCAUACAAGGCAGAAUAUUGGCUUGUGUUCUUGAUGGAUUUGGAAAUGUGUUCCGGGUCCGGACCCGGUAACAACAGUCACAGAAAGCACUAGAAUGUGUCACGGCCAGGACCAGUUCCAGAACCAUCAGAAGAGAAAAUUGGACCACAUCACAAGCCGAAAAGGUAACCAUUAAACCAAACCAAAAGUCGGGAGAUCAUUACAUUCAUUUAUGCAAAACACGAUCAUACCGGGAGUUGACAUGUACAUGAUACUUCUUAUCAGACAAGGAAGUUGAAACUAGUUUGUACUUUACUAGUAUUAUAUCAUACAUAUUACUACUGAGCAGUAGCUUUCUUGGCUUUCUUAGCAGCAGAGGACUUGAUGGAUUUGGGCUGCUUUGGUUUGGCAGCAGCCGAUUUCUUUGCCUUCUUAGGCGGAGGAGGAGCGGCGGCGGCAGACUCUGCUUUGAUUUUAGCUGCAGCAGUUACGGACCUUGUUUUCCUUGGGGCCUUGGCCUUGGUCUUGAUCUCUUUUUUGGUUUUGCCAGCUGCCGCUUCAGAGAGCUUGUAAGAGGCCCUGAUCUUGAUGAGAUUUCCUUUCGCAGCGAAGUGCUUCAGCUGCACUGCCAAUAUUUUCCUGAAAUUCGCUGGGAGCUCAUCUUUGUGCUUCUCUUCCAUGUACUUGGCUAUUGCGUAUGGGCUUGAACCGCUCUUAUCUUGCAGCGCCAUCAGUGCCUCCGUUAUCAUCUGCACAAUUAAUUACAAUAAUAUCAAAAACUUCCUUCAAUGAACGUGACUUAUAAUUUAAUUUGAUUAAAUUGACAAACCUGAAAAUAAGGAGGAUGAGAGGGGGUUUUGGACUGCUUUGGCUUCUUCUCUUUAGGAGCCUUGGGCUUCUUGUCCUUAGCAGCCUUGGCCUUCUUCUCAGUGACGACCUUUUCCGGCUCCUCCGCAGCCGGCUGCUGCUCCGUCACAGCUUCACCUUCUGUGGCCAUCUACUUUCGCAACUAACGAAUCCGCUCAAAACGAUCUCGCAGAAUUACUAGAAGAAAACUAAAGCCUUGAAUUACAGCCUUGAUUGUUUAUUUAUUAAAUAUCGGAGGAAAUGAUCCUUAAUUUAUACUAGCGCUCCAUCCCGGUGAAAAUUUUGUUAUUGGUCCGUUGGAAUUAAAGUAGAUCGCCAGCGUGUUCAAGGAUAUAUCUAGAACUCACACGUGGAACGAUAUCCGACCGUCCCUUACUAUACCAGUUUAAUUUUGCUUAAAAUGGAAUGCGGAGUGGAUUGAAAUUUUCAUUUCGACGUUGGUCUUCUUCCUCUUUGUUGUGUGCUUUCUAUUUUGAUUUACACUGCGAUAUCUUGGGCAUGAAGUCGGCUUUUUUCAUUUUUUUUUUUUGGGAAUGCAAGCUAAGUAAGUCCAGAUUAUAAUGCGGGUCACAUGGAGCAAAAUGGUUGAGUUAAUUGAAUUCUCAAAACAAAAUGUUGUUGGUGUAUGUUGGUUUUGCUUUUUACUUUGUUACUCCGUUGUGCUGUGAAAUUAGAGAAAGCCAUUAUUAGCAAUACGUGAUUGAAAUUUAUAAUUAGGUUUCUCUCUUUCAAAUACAACAAUUAUUUACAAACACAUGAUUAACAUACUAAAUAAGAUCAAAGAUAAUUAUACACCGACCACCUAUUUUUUUUAACUUUUUUAAAAAUACACAAAUCUUAUUUUUUUUGAGACAAUAUUCUACUUGAAGUUAACAUUUUUUUUUAUUUGUCCACUCCCGUCAUAGCACUGUUAGAACUUUGUUGACAUAGUAAGGGUAAAAUUUUUAUUUCACAAGAACAAAAAAAACGACAUUAUUUUAUGUUCCUUUUUUAUUUCCUUUUAUUUUUGGAUAUUAGAAAUUUUUGGUUAAAUUUAAAUUCUUUUAUUAAUUGGUAUCCCUGUUUCUUCUAAUAUAAAUAUAUAUAUACAUUAGAUGCAAAAGUAAUUCAAAUAUGAAUAAAGGAUAAAAGAAAAGUGUACUAGAUUUUGGAAUUUGCCAAUUCAGAAAUGAAAAUAGAAAUUAGAAGUUGAGCCUCUAAUUCCUAUCUUUUUCUUUUCUUGAGUCGGUACUGUGAGUAUAGGAUGUUCUAGUUUUGAUAUUGGAUAUGCCAAACAUUGUAACAAGCUCAAGGAUGGAAACAGAAGUUUUGUGGGGCUUCUACAGUGUCGUAUUGAUCUUGGAAAAUUUUAAAUGAUAUUUCUUUGCCAUUUAUUUGAGACAAAAGAAUAAUUUUAUAUUCAGGGAAAAAAAGAUCGUUUAAUUAAUAUUCUGUUAAAUCUAUUAAUUCCGUUAUAACAGAAGUUGACAAGUAAAAAGAAUGUUAACUUUCAGUAUAGCACUGUCCCUAAAAAAAAAAUCGUGUAUUUUUGAAAAAAAAAAAAAAACAUAUGAUACGUGGAUAAUUGCCCUAGAAUCAGUAACUCUUACUCAUUGUUCUCGCACUUUAAGAGUGUACAACGAGGGACAAGAAAAAAACACACCCAAUUAGGAAAACUCGGAAAACACAGACCUACACCACCAAACAUUACUUUUUUAUCCAGAUUCUCUGUCUGAACUUCCGAUUUAAAAGCAAGUUCCAACCGGUUAAGGUCAACAAGAUCAGUAUUUCAAAUAGUUGUUUUCAACGUAAACAGGAUUGCUAUAGAUCCAGAUGAAGAAAAGUUGGGAAUUCAUCAUCGUAAUAAAACUUUAAAUUACAUUAACAAAAGCUAAAAAAUGAUUUGAUGUUAUAACAAAAGGCAGCAUAUACAAGGUUUUUAGGUAAACUAAAUAAAUAAACAAGCGUUGAAGUGGUGUUCUUUUGUCAACAUAGUAGCAUAAUGAACAAAAUCUUAUUAAGAUCGGAAACUCUUAUCGUUUACAACUGUAGGGAUAUCAUCCAACACAUAUUCUACGGUGCAGUAGUGGAAAUCAAAUGUUCAAUAAAACAAAAAGGUCAAAAGUGAAGGAAAAAAAAUAUUAAUAGAAAAUUGUAAGAUCACGUAAUAAGUCCAACUUCAACAAUAAAGUUUGGCUGCCAGCAUUUCACGGCAUGAUCAAGAGACUUUCACAAUCAUACAAUGAACUGAAGCAUUUGCAAGAGUCAAUGACGCCCGCUUAUUUGAAUAAUACAAAUUACACAGAGCUAGUAAAUAACUACGAAGCAGCUGUCCUAUAGAUAGAACUACAAUAGAUUAAAUAAAUACAUUAGAGGUCAGAUAUUCCCUUUACAAAUGAUUUUUUUAGCUGGAAAUGGAAAGCAACAUUUUUUCCUUGAAGGAGCAAAGCCCGGGCUUAAAAUAUAAAUGAGCUGGAAGACCCCUGUGGACCGACAACAGUUUCGCUUCUGCAGUGAAACUCAACAUUUACACACUAGAUAGACAACAGUUUGAAAAUAUGUGAACCGUGAGGAAACCACCCCCCAAACCCCCUUAAACUCACAUCCACAUCUUAACCACACUAGGCAAAUUUGAGGCCAAUCAACCAAAAAAUUAUACUCCACCUAGCUUCCGAUAUUUUCUGACAUUAUGAUUUAAGGUGAAGAGGCAUUAUCAAAAGACUUAACUAACUCAAUUUUGUUUUAUCUUAGUAUCCGUCUCCACCGCCUAAAACAAAAAAAAUGAUUCCACAGAAGCUAAAAGACAUUUUCAGCAGAUCCCUCGGGUUUAAAUUCGCUCAUAUCUGUCAAUUUCUUCAACCACAAAUUUGUUAUCUUUGGCUGUUUACCAACACGCCCCAAAUUCAACUAAAAUAUGAUUAAUUAUCCUAUUCAAAACAUCUUACAUCCAAACAAACUCACUCAAAACUUAACAGUAUCAACCAUUAAAAAAAAAAACACUUGAACGAUAAGACUGCUAUAGCAAACAGGAGCUGAAACAUGCAAACCAAUAAUCAGAUUAAAGUUCAUAAGGAAAAUCCAACACAGAAACUGAUCUACUAAAGAAGGGGUGGGGAUAUUUAGGUAAACAAAGCAAUACAUGAUAAACAUGAUAAUUACAGCAAAUAGACAUCAUCAAAAAUUUGGGUUGAAUGCAAAAAUAGCAAAAAAAAUUAAAAACAAACCACAGCAGAUAAAUAUAUUGACAAUGGAAAAGAAAGAUUUUUAUGGUUUUUCUAAAAAAAAAGGAAAAAUCAGUUAAAACAGGGAGUGAGGGUUGAAGGCGGCUACAGUAUAUAUAGAAUUUGUAAAGAAGUUUAGUUGAUUGCAAUUUUGAGAUAUCCAGAAGUGUGUAAAUAAAAUAUAAUUUUUAUAUUUUCAUCAUGAACUUUAAGAAAACAGAAAUGUGUGGGUUCAAGUAUCCCCAUGCAAGAAAGAAGCAAGAUUUAUAUCACCUAUUUUUUAUGAAAAUGGAGAUAAGCAAAUCAAGUGUAUUCACUUCACAAUUUAUGGUAAUUUUGAACCAACUUCACAGCUAAACCUUCAAAAGUUCAAUGAAUCAGAAUAGUAACUAAUUGUCCUCUAUGUACCAUCCAAAUAUCACUUGAGUAUAAUUUAGUGGCAAUUAGAAUAAAAGCACACGAUCCCUUGUAAAAGCUAUUUAUGAAACUAACCACGUCCUUAGAGCAAAACCCAGAGUGAAUCUGAUUUCAAUCCAACCAAAGAUUGAAGCUGAACAUGGAAAGAACAGCACUAAGAUCUCUCCUAGAAGUAUAAAUAAAAUUGCAUAUGAUCCCUUCUGCUCCUUCCCAAAUAAAGGUCAAACAAAAGGUUUUAGUAAUCUUCAGUUUGUUAGAGAGUAGCACCUUUAAAACAAAAUCCACAAUUAUCAGAUAAGACUUUCAAGCUGAAGAGGUUUGGAACAGAUGCAAAACAUUGACCACCACCAGAAACAUAUCUAGUCAGAAAGAAACAUAUUCAAUUGAUACAAUAAGGAUGGAUCAUCUUGAAGAACUGCCAUAUUCACUCAAGUAACCAAUAAAAUCUCUAAAGCACAGUCCCCUUCAAUCCAUAACAUAUAUCCAGAUCGGUAGGCAGGUUUCAGAUUGCAUAUUCCUAUACAAGGUCUACACUUUUUGUUUCUCCAAAAACAUAAAACAUAGGGAGAUCUCCAUAAAAGCACUAUAGCCAUAGGCAAUUAAAGUUUAAACUAACUUCUGCAUCUGUCGCGAUAUAAUAAAAGCCAUAGCUUGAACUUUCCAAUUCCACAAAAGAGUCACCCAGUCCACUUCCUUUUAACAGCUUCAAGAUUAAACAUCAAUCUGUAUUCUUGAUCCAUGACGUACUCAUGAAUAUAGAAGGAAACUUAUACUGCCCUUUACCACAACAACCGAUAUAAAAAAACCUCCAGUUCAUACCUAGAGCAGAGGGAGCACAAUCUAUUACAAUCUCCGACGUACAGAAGAAAUAUAAGUUUCUUAGUCCAGGUCCUUCAUGUAUGUAACCUAACUAGACACAUUGAACUCCUAACAUGGUGCUAAUUAUAGUAGAAACAUAACUAGAAAGAGAUGUACAGGGUAAUGGAAGACAAGGGGAAAAAGUUGAAUGAAGAUAAUUAAUAAAAAUUAAAAAGGCAACUGCCACCAUAUUUUCAGCAGCAAGCCAGCUGCCCAUCAACAAUGAACUGCAUCCUGCAUUUCCCAGCCCACCUAGACAAAAGAGUGAAACAGCCUCUAAAAGUUAUAAGGUGAACGCAUUUACCAUAAAACUCAGGAAACUUAAAAUUGCAAUACAGCUGCCAUUACCAAAGGAUCUCGAGUCUAGUAGAAAUAGCCACCUCCAUAUAAGCGAUCAUCCCCGUAAUAUGGUGGGUAAGGUGGAUGUGCACCAUACUGAAAAAAUGAAAAUAUGAUGGAACAUUAUAAAAAUGUCAUCUGCACAUCAAUAUGGACAUGCUAAAACUGCGAGCUUACAUUGGGAACAUGAUAAUCAUCUGAAUAGUGAUUACUGCAAGCUCCAACAUUAUCUAAACAAAAUAAAAUACAGAUGAGCAAUAGGAUGAAUAAAACAUGAAAUUGAGCCUGCCUAAAAAAGUCAACAAAUGCAAAGCAUUGCAUACCAUGAUGAUGGCUUCCAUGAAAUGGAAUUACUGGAUCAUUAUAAUCCAGUCGUGGUCGGAAUCUUCUUGGCCCCAUGCAAUCAGGCUCAUGGUCCUACAGGCAGUAAGCAAAAUUCCAACUAAUAACACUAGGAUAAUUGGUAAAGGAUAGGAACAAACGUGUUAGAAACGUAAAUCAGAGAUAAUAAAAAAUUGGACAAAUAGCUUGCCAUCACAUGGAAUGACCGCUUUACUCCAUGGGCACGGUCAUCAUAAAAAUAAGGGUCAUCAACUUGUCUCCCAAUAAAAGGUCUGUCAAAGUCUUCGCCUUGAGAAAAUGGUUGCCUCCUAUAAGAAUGAUGCUCCCCAUAGCCUCUAUCGGGGCCAUCCGGCCAAAGUCUAGUAGGAUUAGACCUUGAAGGCCCAGCUCCUGCGGCGGCUCUACUAGGUGCAUUAUAACCACCUCUGAAACUCCUUCCUCCUGUAAGUAAUAUAUAUCAAAUUGUAAGACCAGCCUCUAUGUGUUAACUCAUACAUGCUUGUGUAGUUGUGCACAUGGAUGCAUCAACAAACAAGCUCAGAGAGAGAGAGAGAGAGAGAACCUCGUCCAAUAAAUUGUCUCCCAUGAAACUCAGUGUAUCGGUUGUCAAAGUCAUACUCAGUGGGACCCAUUCUACUACUGUGAUUCCGACCAUGUUGAUAGAAACCCCUGCCGCGUUGGAAAUUUGCCCUGUUAAAGUGAUGUCCAGCCCGCCCAGAGCCCCUUCCUAUAAGCCAUAAAAGUAAUCAUAAGCAAAAGGCAUGGACAUGAAAAUCUAAAGCCUCAGUUUCUAAAAGAUAGUAGAUUACCAUAUCUUGAAAAGGUUCUGCUGCUACCAUGACCAAUUCGGAAUCCACCAGACAUACCACCCUUCACUGCCUGAGUUUUUGGCAUCGGAUUUGAAAGUCUUGCUCUCAGUUUUACCUAGGAGGACAUGACAAAUCAAUAAAAUCUAUUAUCCCCGAGGUAUAAGCCCAGUUGGCUUAACUCUUGCAGUGGAAGCAAGAUGUGAUGGCGGUUCAAGCCCAAGGGGAUACCUUUAAUUUGGGGUUAGGUUAGGUUCAUUGUAACUGAAAAGAAUUUACCCCAGGCCAUUAACUGAUAAGUGCAAGUCACAGACAUGUACAUGAAAAUGAUAAGAGUCUACAAGAGAACAAAAGGGGCAUUGACUUCUACUUGUUCUUCUUCUUAUUAUCAUUAUUAAUUUUGGAUGACAAUGCAGCAGAUUGUUCAGGAAGCUUUAAUUAGAUAAUCUCUAACAAAUUAGCAUUUUCAAGAAAAAAAGUAAGAAAAUGCAACCCAUUUGAAAACUUAAAGCCCCUACAAUAUAGAUGUAGACACAAAAGCAUAUACACCACAGCACAUCCAAUAUCAAACUACAAGCUUCACCUUUGAAUUGCCAUCACUGAAUUCUUUAUUGUUUAUGGCAUUGAUGCAAGCAACAGCAGCUUCAUGGGUUGAGAAAUCAAUAAACCCAUAGUCCUUCCUUUUAGCAGUUGACAUAUUUCGAGCUAGGACAAUCCGUAUAACAUCCCCAUAGCCUUUUAUCUGAUCUCUAAUUUGGUUUUCUUUCCAGUGAGGAGGAACCCCAUCAAGAAAUACAGUCUUCACAUGGGCCAUUAUUUCUGGGUCAGGCUCACGUAAAGGUUCAGCAAAAGCUACCUUGACAGUUCUUUCGGGAUGACCAAAAACAACAUCAGGCUUCUGAAGCCUCUUGUAUGCAGCCAUAGCAUCAACAUGGCAAGAGAACAUAACAAAUGCAAAACCACGACUCAACCCUUCAUGUUGAAUAUCUGACACAAGGUUAAUGUUCUCAACACCUUCGACACCGUAAUCUUUCAGUUUUUGCUUAAUCUGCCAACCCACAUAACAUUAAGGAUGAGUAAUCAAACCUGACAAGUAGAUACACAUAACAAACCAGAUACUUACAGCCUCCUUUGUCCAUGUAUUGCAGAUAUUUCCUACAAACAAUGUGUCAUUGUCCUCACUUGGUGCAGUCCCGCAUCGCUUUCCACAAAUCUGUUUGAGAGGAAAAAUUAGGAUAUAUAUCAAAAAUAGCUGAAGCAUAAACUAGAACAGAUCCAUACCACAGGAUUCUUCAUCUCAGUCAGAGCCCGUUUUGCGUGCUCCUUGUUUGCAAACUUCACAAACGCAUAUCCCUUAUUCCUAUUUGUCGAAAAAUUCUUGUGUAAUCGAACUUCAAUUACCUCUCCAAUCCUCUCAAAAACCUUUCUAACAUCCUCUUCCGUAGCAUCACGAUCCAAUCCACCAAUAAAAAUUUCAUGCUCUUUCUUAAUCUUGCGGUCCUUCGCUAUCGCGUUUAGUUCCCUGCGUUCAUCUUCCAAUGUCUCAGCUUCAUCAGCAGGCUCCUCCAUAUCAUCAUCGGCAAACUCUUCCUCGUCAUGCUCUCCAUAGUCUACGCAAUCACCAUAAUCCUCAUAACUUCCAUAGUCAUCCAGUUCCGAUUGAAAAUUUUCCCCCAACAACUUGCUUUUCAGAUCUUCUUCUUUGUCAACAGGCACAGUCUCAGGCUCCUCUUUGUCAUCAACAUUUUCUAACUCCUCCUCUUCAGGGUCUUCAUCUGUUUCCUCCUUGUAUUGAAAUAUGGCUUCUAUAAUGUCAUUGUGCUUGGCAACCUCCACAAGGGCAGGUUCUUUUUGCUUCGAAGAAUCCCCUAGCCGUUCCUUAUUGUCAUAGUUAGAAACUUUAUCCUCACUGAAUUUUGCAACCUCCAUACCAUGUUCUUUUGCAAUUAAAGAAUCCCCCAUGUUUUCAACAACUUCCAUUGAUGUUUGAUCCUCCUUUACUGCUUCAUCAUCAUCUUCAAGAGCAGUAUCUUCCUCUUCCUCUUUUGUCCCUUCUGCAACAUUUUCAACCACAGCUUCUAAUUGCAUUUUACUCAGUUCCUGCAUCGGAAAUCCUCUAACAUUUUCCUCUGUCAUUGCAUCCUCUACUUCCUCCUUUGGGGAUUCUUCAGCCCUUGCCUUAUGAGAUCCCUGAGAAAUAGGUGUUUGUGAGGCAAUAACUUUUCUUGAAGAUGGAGUUCUUGUUUUUACCAGCUUCUUCUUUACCCCCGAACUGGUACCCGAAGCAACUGUCUUUUUUACUGGUGUCACCACAGCAGCAUCAGCUGGUGCAUUCCCUUCUCCAACUGAAAAGUAAAGUUCAACUUACGGUUACAUCAUUAUAGUCAAGCUAACCAAAAGAACAACUCCAUAAUAAUAAUGAAUGUAGUGAAGAAUAGCUUCCUUCCUUCGGCGAUCAUAAGUCAUUCAAGAACUAAAGUAAGGUAGCAGCUGAUAGAAACAUCAAUAAUAACUCUAUAAGAGCUUAGACUUAUCUACAAUAUAUACUAGCCGAAAAAAGAAAACCGAAUCACUCUGACAUGCUUAUAAAUAUAAAUGAUUUUAAAAUUGAGUUCCUAUUGACUGGCUUCAAUUACUUAGAGAAACAAAAAGAAGGAAAAAGAAAAUACUCUGAGCUUUAAUUAAAUGUUCCAAACAUUUGAAAAGAAAGAAUUAUACCAGCUGAAUGUUCAAGGCUAGAGCCAGAACUCGGGGUAACUUGGGGAGGUGUCGUUUCGUUGGAUUUUGCUUGCUUCGCUUUGCUGCCAGAAUCGCGUUUUGUCUCCGCAGGGGUUGAGGUAGCUCUAGUGGCGAUUUUCCUCGUCGGCGGAGUCUUUUUGGUGGGCGUGGAUUUGGCAGAAUCACCGUUUCGGGUUCUCAUGUUCGUAACAAGAAACCCUAGAUGGAGUUUCGUGAAACAGGCGACAGCGAGUCAGCGACUCUGAAUUUUUUUUUUUUUUUUUUUUUUUUAAAUUCUAAUGUUUUGACUACCGCCCUCAGAGCGAUCACUAAGGAGAAGAUCAUGCAGUGAGGCAGGAGGUUUUGAGUUUUUGACGUUUUGUAAUGAAGAUAAUUGGAUGUGCUGACGACGUCGUUCCAUUUUCGUACCACAAGAACUGCGUUGUUACCUUGUUGGGCUUCAAUCUGUUUACAUUAUGGGCUGCUGCCUUGCUGUCCCUUGUUUUCAUUUUGAGUUAAUUAGUACCACUACGAUGCCGCAAAAUUCCUUUACAUCCCCAGUUUUACGUAUAUUUAUUUAAAAAAUUUAAACAAAACAGAAUUAUUUUGUCCAACUUUUGUCCCAAGAUUAUCCUCUGUGCUCUCUCUCUCUCUCUCUCUCUCACAAUCUGUUUAUUUGGUUAUUAGUUCUGCAGUAUUUUUGUUUUCUGAAAUUUUUAAAAAGUCGAAGCUUAACAAAAUUUUAUACUAAUGUCUUUCUUACAAUGAUUCUCUCGACGAGAAUCAUUGAUCAUCAUCAUUUGUUACAGUAUUUUCUUACGAAUUAUGAUUAAGAAACCAAAUGUGCAAAUUGUAUCAACAAAAACAACAAAAAUUAAGAUGAAUUUUAAAUUUUUGUUAAAAACCUCUCAUUUUUAGCCAAUUACUAAAAUAUUUUUCUAGGCGUUCAGCAUAUCAGAAUGUUGAAGCGUACGGCAUUGUCUAAAGUUUGACAUUCUAGCACACAAGAUUAAUAAAUUUGAAAGAGUAGGACAAGUUUAAGCGGAUAAGACGGAACUACCCUCCUAGCCCUCAAACGAAUUAUAGUCCCGUUCAUCAAACUCCUCAAUCGCACGUUUAAGCUCUGAAACUAGAUUUGUUAUUAUCGUAACACUUGAUCAUGGAAUUCUCGUUGAUCCCUUGAUCUGCACUGCGAGGCUGGCUAAGAGUUCGAUAGUUCAUGGAAUUACCAGACACAAGGCUAAGUGGAUUACCAUUCAUAUCUAAUCGGGAACACCUCAAUACUGGCCAAUUGCUUGCUGUGCUUACUUUUUUCCUCACAGUAUAGCAUCGAAUUGAAAUCUAAUAAGUAAUUAAGUAUAGAAACUAAAACAAAAGUCUGCAGCAAUGGGUGCCUCAGAAUCCACUCUCUCAAGCCCACAGUCUCAGGUAACUCUUCAAUUCUGCUCAUCAGUCUUUAUAUUUGCGUAUAUUUUCUCAGAGUCUCCCGUUAAAUUCACGGCUUAAUUUAUUAUUAACUGAAUCUAUUGCUCCUCUAGAGACCAAUAGACGAUAUCACCACCGUCUCCUAUAAAUCAGAAUCCGUCGAUCCUAUAUUAGAGAAUAUCAAAUCCCUCAAGAUUGUGAGUUUUUUUUUUUCUUUCCUCUGAAGGAAUUCGCAUUCGUCAAUAUCUUAUAAAAAUUUAAUUUUAAAUUUUUGGCUGAUCAUAGACAACGCCAAUACUGACAUCACCACCACCAACGGAGAGUAGCUUGACUGACAUUUUAGUAAGAAGAUCAUCUACUUCUUCGGCUUCAGGUGGGUUUUAAUGGUUCAAAUAGCGGGUGUAUUUGAUUCAAUGAGUUGUAAAUUAGGGUUUCAAAGUGAAGUGUUCCUUUUGUUUACUACCUUGUAAGUUUUUCACUCUUAGUUUAUGUUUAAAAAAUUCAGAAAUUAAGGCCUGUGAAGAGAGGACUGCUCUCAGUUCUUAAAUGUUACAAAAGUCCUAAAGCUUUGGAAAAGUCAGAAUUUAGAAAUAUAUAAAUACAAUGUAAACAUUGAUAACUGCUUUAGCGGGCUCAUUAUUUGCUAGCUAGAUUGAAGUGGCAUCAGGCUUUCACCCUUAUGGUUGUGGAACUUUUAAUGAGUGGUUAAACUCUUGAGUCCUAAUUGAUUGCUGAACGCGAAUAUAGUUUCUGGGUUGAUUUUCCUCACAAAACUACUCUGAAGUGUGAGGAAAUUGGUAUGGUUCCCUAUGGUUUGGUUUAGUGUCUGACAAGCAGGGGCAAAAGUCUUCAGGCAGACAGAACUUUUAGUACUCUCGUUAAUCUUUUCUUUUGAGUAUAAUAGUAUUCAUGGUAAAGUGAAAUGUGAUGUUAGUUUUGUUUUCGUCAAGUGUUUAUGGCCCCAGAAGCAUUAAGCUGAAUAAUUUUGUUCUCUUAAGUUAUCUUACUGUAAUGAUUUGGUUGUAUUUGAUUUUUUCCAUCUUUAUUUUAUGUUCAAUAAUAUAGGUACUGUGAAUCCAAAGGUACUGCUGGAGCUUUUCUCAAUGUAUCGUGAUUGGCAGGAGGAGAAAGCCAAACAGAUUAGCAAGAGACAGGUUUGCGUUGCCAAUCAUAAAUUUUGAGAGUGCAAGACCAAUUCAACUAAUAUGGAUGUUUAUGACAUAAAGAUUGUGAAAGCAAAUGCGCAGCUUAGAUCAGCUGUGGAUCCCUAUGAAUUUCAUAUGAGAUCCAUUUAUUUCUGUACAUAGUUCUAGGAUUUGAAUUAAGAUUAUUAUAGAAAUUAAAUAAAUAAUCCUGCCCUGGGGACAUACAAUUCACUGUUACAUAAUUCUAACUUUAUUUGAUCCUCAAGGUUGAUAGUUAAAUAUGUAUGUAAUGAUUUGGGUUGAAAUGGAUUUAGCUCAUCCUGCAGUCAAACAGAUGCUUUUCUAGAUAAUGAUCAAAGGAGUGAAGGCAGAUUUACUGAUAUUAUAGUGUCUAUGAUCACCGUUUGUCAUCUGGUGAUGAGUGAUUAGUCAAUCUGUGUUGAUAUUACUCAUAAACAGGCAAGUCCUACUGGUUUGCCUUUUGAUUUUAGAAGUCUGGUUUUGGUUUGUCAUCAAGUUUGUAAACGACAAACAUCCCCUAAAUAAAAUAAAUUUAGGAAUUGAAUUUGGAUGCACUAUGACUAUCUAAAAUUGUUGUAGGAAGAGAUAGAAAACAAGAUUGAAGUUGCGGAUGCUUUGGCAACAAAACUUCUUCAACGUUUUGGUUACUCUGCGUCAGCAAUGAAGACAAGUUCACAGCAUCUAUCAGAAGGUAACUUGAUCAGAGUCAAUUCUGCAGGUCUGUUUUACUAGCUUUUUGGGUUUUAUUAAUUAUGUGCUUUGGAAAAUACAUGCAGUUCAUGCUUUGCAGGUGGAAAUCGGGGAGCUUAAGGGAAGGUUGACUGAGGUUAUUAGUAAUUGUGAUGCACUGUGCAAGAGAAUUGCUGCAGAGGGACCAGACUCACUUCAGGCAUCAAUCAAGCCACUUGCUGUCACUACUACCAGGUCAGAAGUUAGCUGUAGCUCAUCCUCAUUGCAAAAGGAUGAUAAACUUGAGUCCAGUUCAACAGAAGGCAAACUAGACUGACUUUUUGCCUUUUCUGUAUAGAUCUUUUGUUUCUUUUUACACUUAAUUGAAGCUUAGAUGGAUGGUCAGAACAUUCUAACCACUUAUUUCUGACUAAUAUUUGGUUGAGCUUUGUUCAUUGUGUUUGGAUUUGUGCCACAGAGCAUAUAUUUAUGGUUUCAUAUAUUCUUACUCACAAAAGAUUUAGUAAAAAAGUUAUAUUCAUUUUGUGGAGAAUUUUCUCCGAUGAUAAGAUCGUAGGAGUUUAACAUAGCGACUCUGAAAGCAUGAAGGGAAGGGCAAAUUCGUUCUCCCUGUGAUAAACUAGCGAAUCCACUGAUAAUUCCUCCUUUCGCAAAAUACAUUAUAAAUAAACAACCAAAUCUGCUGUAAAGAAACAAUAAUCCGAAUGCAAACUACCAAUUACUAAAGGUCUUUUUUGGAAAUUGCUCCCUUGCCAUGGCCCAUGAGCAUGCCAUACACUCGUCAUGCAUGUUGAAUCCCACAGUCCAGACACGCAUGUGAGCUAUAAAUAAAGAGGCUGUAAAUUGGAGAGUAUCGACACGUCAUUUCCGGUGAUGAUGAUGCACUGUGUAAACUAGAAAGAUCAAAUCUGGAUCUACCCAAACACAAUUUGCCCAAUUGGCAGAAAUUGGAAAACUCAUAGUAGAUGCUAAAUAGCAAUUUCAUCUUCCUGAAAUUAACGAAUGAAGUUACAAAGAUUCAAACGACAUAAAACAUGAAAUAACACUUGAACUAAACAAAUAUUCUCCUCAAAAAUCAAACCCUAGAAAGCACUCAAGCUGUCAAGCAUUAGCUUAAAAAUAAUACAAGAAGGUAAAAACCAAAUCUAAGGCUGCUGCUGAGCGUCCAUGUAUCCAGCAUCAACAAGAACUUUCUCUCUUUUAGCCAAUUCAAUAUCUUCAUCAACCAUCAUCUUCACCAACUGCUCAAACCCAACUCGAGGCUUCCAGCCAAGCACUUUCCUGGCCUUGCUUGAAUCCCCCUUCAAAUUAUCAACCUCAGCUGGCCUAAAAUACCUCUUAUCGAUCACCACAUGAUCCUUCCAAUUCAACCCCACAUACCCAAACGCGACCUCCAAAAACUCCUCCACUGUAUGCGACUCCUCCGUCGCCACCACAUAAUCAUCCGGCUUCUCCUGCUGCAACAUCAUCCACAUUGCCUCCACGUAGUCUCCCGCAAAUCCCCAAUCCCUCGACGCUUGCAAAUUACCCAAAAACAAUUUACUCUGCAAUCCUAUCUUGAUCCUCCCAACCGCACGCGUAAUUUUUCUAGUAACAAAAUUUUCGCCGCGUCUAGGCGAUUCGUGGUUAAAUAAAAUUCCGUUACACGCGAAAAGCCCGUAAGCUUCGCGGUAAUUUACAGUGUACCAAUGGGCAGCGCAUUUCGAAGCAGCGUAAGGAGAUCUUGGAUGGAAGGGAGUUGUCUCGGAUUGCGGAGGCGGAGUGGAUCCGAACAUUUCGGAUGAUCCGGCUUGGUAGUAACGGAUGUGGGACCUUCCACUGUCUGCAAUGUGAGAUCUAACAGCUUCGAGCAAACGGAGAGCUCCUGUGGCCACAACAUCGGCCGUGUAAUCGGGGAUCUCGAAGGAUACUGCCACGUGAGACUGGGCAGCUAGGUUGUAGACUUCGUCGGGGAGAAUGGUGUCGAGCCAGCGACGGAGAGACGACGCGUCGGUGAGAUCGGCGUAGUGGAGUUUCAUUCGGGCCUUGUGGGCGUUGUGUGGGUCGAUGUAGAUGUGAUUGAUACGCUGCGUAUUGAAGUUGGAGGACCGUCGGAUCAGGCCGUGGACUUCGUAGCCCUUGUUAAGGAGGAAUUCCGUUAAGUAGGAGCCGUCUUGGCCGGUAAUCCCAGUGAUCAGCGCGAUUUUCCGUUUAGGAGUGGCGUCACCGUUAAUGAUCGAUUCCGAUCUGGAUGACUCGUUCUCGGAUGCCAUUGAUGGAUGGUCCGGAUUGACGUGUCGGGUUUUCGACUUGAAUGAGAACGAGGGUCUAGCCGCCUAGUGAGAGUGUUGGCAAGUGACGGUUGUGUUUAGAAGUUUACGCGCUGGACUGAAUUGAUUUUAUAGGCUAACGCGUGAAGCAGGGGUAAUAUAGUCUAUGUCUAAUUGGGAGUUUCAUACCAGCAGCAUGGCGCGGUGGAUUUUCGUUGGGGAGGGUAGGAGUUGUCAAUUUUCUAUUGGGGGGCAGGUUGUCAUUUACUUGCCAAUUGGAAAUUUGAAAGUAAAGCAUUGUCAACAUUCACUAAUCUUGACUUGACUCAUCACGAUGUCGUUUUUUUUGACGAAAUUUUUUGGAAAAUUCAAAAUUGUUCAAACUACUUAAUUAUGUAGGAAUUAAGUCCACUGGCAGUUGGCUAAUUAAACAAUUGUGGAGAGCAAACAAUCACUGUAACACUCUUAUGAUAUUGCAUUAGACGGUCGCUUUAUAUCUAUAUUUGUUUCAGUUAAUGAUGAAGUGUAUUCAUGAAUCAUUUCACUUGAUUCUGAUUUUCACCACUUUUCUUCGUUAAAGCAGGAGAUUGUCAUAGCAGUUUUUUUUUUUAAUUUUUAUUAACCGAGAAAUCCAUUGAAAUUUAAAUUUAAGACAUGAGAUCUAAAAACACUGCUUAGCAUUAGAGCUCUACCUUAAUUUUAGAGAAUUACAUAAUUCAUUACAGUCAAUUGGGAGGUGUUGAGAAAUUAAGCUCCAUCAGGACUACUGUUUUAAACUCAAAUAAGUUCACAUAAGGUUUUUAAUUUUUUCACUGUAUUAAGUAUGAAUGAGAACUGGUCUAGAGUAAAGUAUGAAUGAGAAUUGGUCUAGACUAAGAGUAGUGAUAUUCAACACCACAUUUUAUCUCACAAGAUCUCAUCUUUUUAU
rnacentral:lncRNA from 1 species